rnacentral:rRNA from 1 species
AUUGAACGCUGGCGGCAGGCCUAACACAUGCAAGUCGAACGAGUGGCGGACGGGUGAGUAAUGUCUGGGAAACUGCCUGAUGGAGGGGGAUAACUACUGGAAACGGUAGCUAAUACCGCAUACCAUCGGAUGUGCCCAGAUGGGAUUAGUUAUUAGGUGGGGUAAAGGCUCACCUAGGCGACGAUCCCUAGCUGGUCUGAGAGGAUGACCGGCCAGACUGGAACUGAGACACGGUCCAGACUCCUACGGGAGGCGGCGUUGGGGAAUAUUGGACAAUGGGCGCAAGCCUGAUGCAGCCAUGCCGCGUGUAUGAAGAAGGCCUUCGGGUUGUAAAGUACUUUCAGCGGGGAGGCGUUACCCGCAGAAGAAGCACCGGCUAACUCCGUGCCAGCCGCCGCGGUAAUUC